UACAGAGGUGGCAAGCGUUGUUCGGAAUUACUGGGCGUAAAGGGCGCGUAGGCGGCCUUCUAAGUCAGACGUGAAAUCCCCCGGCUUAACCUGGGAACUGCGUCUGAUACUGGGAGGCUUGAAUCCGGGAGAGGGAUGCGGAAUUCCAGGUGUAGCGGUGAAAUGCGUAGAUAUCUGGAGGAACACCGGUGGCGAAGGCGGCAUCCUGGACCGGCAUUGACGCUGAGGCGCGAAAGCCAGGGGAGCAAACGGG
rnacentral:rRNA from 1 species